rnacentral:rRNA from 1 species
GGUUAUGGCCAUACCACCCUGAAUGCGCCCGAUCUCGUCUGAUCUCGGAAGCUAAGCAGGGUCGGGCCUGGUUAGUACUUGGAUGGGAGACAUUAACUUUUGAAAGUAAUAUGCUUUCUUUAAUUU